rnacentral:rRNA from 1 species
UACGUAGGGUGCGAGCGUUAAUCGGAAUUACUGGGCGUAAAGCGUGCGCAGGCGGUUUUGUAAGCCAGAUGUGAAAUCCCCGGGCUUAACCUGGGAAUGGCAUUUGGGACUGCAAGGCUUGAGUGCGGCAGAGGAGACUGGAAUUCCUGGUGUAGCGGUGGAAUGCGCAGAUAUCAGGAGGAACACCGGUGGCGAAGGCGGGUCUCUGGGCCGUUACUGACGCUGAGGAGCGAAAGCGUGGGGAGCGAACAGG